GACGAACGCCGGCGGCGUGCUUAACACAUGCAAGUCGAACGGAAAGGCCCUGCUUUUGUGGGGUGCUCGAGUGGCGAACGGGUGAGUAACACGUGAGUAACCUGCCCUUGACUUUGGGAUAACUUCAGGAAACUGGGGCUAAUACCGGAUAGGAGCUCCUGCUGCAUGGUGGGGGUUGGAAAGUUUCGGCGGUUGGGGAUGGACUCGCGGCUUAUCAGCUUGUUGGUGGGGUAGUGGCUUACCAAGGCUUUGACGGGUAGCCGGCCUGAGAGGGUGACCGGCCACAUUGGGACUGAGAUACGGCCCAGACUCCUACGGGAGGCAGCAGUGGGGAAUAUUGCACAAUGGGCGGAAGCCUGAUGCAGCAACGCCGCGUGCGGGAUGACGGCCUUCGGGUUGUAAACCGCUUUCGCCUGUGACGAGGCGUGAGUGACGGUAAUGGGUAAAGAAGCACCGGCUAACUACGUG
rnacentral:rRNA from 1 species